GACGAACGCUGGCGGCGUGCUUAACACAUGCAAGUCGUACGGUAAGGCCCUUUCGGGGGUACACGAGUGGCGAACGGGUGAGUAACACGUGAGUAACCUGCCCACAACUUUGGGAUAACGCUAGGAAACUGGUGCUAAUACUGGAUAUGUGCUUCUGCUGCAUGGUGGGGGUUGGAAAGCUCCGGCGGUUGUGGAUGGACUCGCGGCGUAUCAGCUUGUUGGUGGGGUAUUGGCCUACCAAGGCGGCGACGGGUAGCCGGCCUGAGAGGGUGACCGGCCACAUUGGGACUGGGAUACGGCCCAGACUCCUACGGGAGGCGGCAGGGGGGAAUAUUGCACAAGGGGCGCGAGCCUGAGGCAGCAACGCCGCGUGCGGGAUGACGGCCUUCGGGUUGUAAACCGCUUUCAGCAGGGACGAAGCUUAUUGUGACGGUACCUGCAGAAGAAGCACAGGCUAACUACGUG
rnacentral:rRNA from 1 species